AUGUUCUGCUCUAUGAUGAUUUAAAUGGCUGCAGUAUUUUAACUGUACAAAGGUAGCAUAAUAAUUAGUCUUUUAAUUAAGGGCUUGUAUGAAUGAAUAAAUGAAAAAUAUAUUAUAAUGAAUUUUAUUAUUUAAACUUAAUUAUUUGGUAAAAAAGCUGAAUUUUUAAUUUGGGACGAAAAGACCCUAAAGAACUAUUCUUUUAUUUUAUUUUAAUUUUGAUUUUAAUUUAAUUUAAUUUUAAAAAGUUUUAUUGGGGUGAUAAUUAAAUUUAAUCUUUAUUUUUUUAUAUCUUUUUUCUAAGAAUUUGUUGAUUCUAAUGUUGGUUAUAAGAAAAAGUUACCUUAGGGAUAACAGCGUUAUUUAAGUGGGGAGUUCAUAUUUAUACUUAAGUUUGCGACCUCGAUGUUGAAUUAAGAUUAUUUUAAGGAGCAGUAUCUUUUUAAUUUAAGUC
rnacentral:rRNA from 1 species